UGUAAGUGUGUCCAUGAAUAACUCGCUUGUUACCUUCCUUUUCUACUAGCACUACUAGAACCAAGACUUGUUGUACUUUUGUUGUCCUUGCUGCUUCGUGUAAUCACUUGUGUGCAUAUGAACUUGGUGAUAACGCUGGAGAGCUGAGAGUCAAACCUUAAACAGUGGUUCUUGAUCUUCUUCUCCUUAUUGUUUUGAGUUGAGUAAUUUGUAAGGACCCUCUUGUCAAACUUGAUUUUCUUGCUAGAAUCUUUGUUGGGUGUUGGAGAUUGUGAUUUAAUAGAAGCUGAAUUUCGAGUCUUUGUUUGGCCUGGUCCUUUCCUUGUUCUGGUUUUUUUUUGGGUUGGUAAUUAACAGGAAAAAAACCAUCUAAGUUCUGUUUUUGGAUUAGAAACCCAAGAAUCUUGAGGAUUCUUUGAUUCUUUUUUCUUGUGGGUGUAUAUGUGAAUUUCUUAUCUUGUUCAAUAUUGGGUCCUCUUCUAGCAUUCAAAAUCUGAAAUUUGCAGCUGUUUUGGUGGAUAAGAUAGCAUCUUUUCCUGAAACAACAUAUCUCCUUUUCGAAUUCCACUAGUUUGUAUUUGGAUUUCGAGUCAGGUGAAGUUUGCUAGCUAUUCUUCAUUUAACUGUGCCUCUUCUUGUUCUCUGAAGUAAGGAUUUCUCUUGAUGCUGGGUUCUACUAGACAGUCUCUGUAGAUUUGAUAGUGGCUCCUUUUCUUUCUCUUUAUUUUUUUUUUCUACACUAGGAUGAGGUAGUCAGUAAGACCCCCUUAAACCUCUGGUACUGUUUCUAGAUAUCUCGUGUUCGUUACUGUUUUGGAUGAGUUUACUUCAUGUAUAUGGGUUUGGUUUAAAGGUGCGGCAUCUACUUUGGAUGCUAUGUUGCUGGAUUGUAUCAGUAAUUUCCAUGAACUGGUUCAUUAAUGGUGGAAUUUUGGAGACCAAGGCCGGUUUGCUUGGUGAUGGUGGCAAGAUGUGGCUCAAAUGCUUGGAGAAAGUUUCAGGGAAUAGUUGCAAGAUCCAUCAUCUCUACUACCAGUAUAUUGGUUCCAAGAGAAUUAGAAAAACAUGGUGGCGAAAGCUUUUGGUCGCGUGGAUAGUUGGCUGGAUCAUUGUCUCUGUUUGGAUCUUCUGGUACAUGAGCUCACAAGCUUUUGAGAAGAGGAAAGAGACACUUGCAAGUAUGUGUGAUGAGAGGGCUAGAAUGCUACAGGAUCAGUUUAAUGUGAGCAUGAACCAUGUGCAGGCCAUGUCCAUUUUGAUCUCAACUUUUCACCAUGGCAAAAACCCUUCUGCGAUUGAUCAGAGGACUUUUGCGAGGUAUACAGAAAGAACCGCUUUUGAGAGGCCCCUCACAAGUGGUGUGGCCUAUGCUGUAAGGGUGCUCCAUUCUGAAAGGGAACAAUUUGAGAAGCAACAAGGCUGGACUAUUAAGAGGAUGGAUUCCUUUGAACAAAACCCAGUCCGUAAGGAUGACAAUGCCCCUAAAGCAUUGGAGCCAUCCCCAAUUCAGGAAGAAUAUGCUCCUGUCAUCUUUGCUCAGGAUACUGUUGCACAUGUGGUUUCCCUUGAUAUGCUUUCAGGAACUGAAGAUCGUGAAAAUGUGUUGCGUGCUAGAGCAUCUGGAAAGGGGGUUCUAACUGCUCCUUUCAGAUUACUCAAAACUAACCGUCUUGGGGUUAUUUUGACGUUUGCUGUGUACAAGACAGACCUCCCAUCUAAUGCAACUCCAAAUGAGAGGAUUCAAGCAACUGAUGGGUACCUUGGAGGAAUCUUUGACAUCGAGUCACUCGUUGAGAAGCUGCUUCAACAGCUUGCAAGCAAGCAGACUAUCCUAGUGAAUGUGUAUGACACUACUAAUCAGUCUCACCCUAUCAGCAUGUAUGGUUCAAAUGUAUCAGAUGAUGGGCUGGAACAUGUCAGCUCCCUUAAUUUGGAAGAUCCUUUCAGAAAGCAUGAGAUGCGCUGCAGAUUCAAACAAAAACCACCAUGGCCAUGGUUAGCAAUAACAACAUCAAUUGGCAUCCUUGUGAUUGCAUUGCUUAUUGGGUACAUAUUCCAUGCGACUAUGAAUCGGAUUGCUAAAGUUGAAGAUGAUUGCCACAAGAUGAUGGAGCUUACAAAACAAGCCGAGGCAGCUGAUGUUGCAAAAUCUCAGUUUCUUGCUACGGUUUCCCAUGAGAUCAGAACCCCAAUGAAUGGUGUUCUAGGAAUGCUGCAUAUGCUUAUGGACACAGAUCUAGAUGCGAAUCAGCAAGAUUAUGUUAGAACCGCACAAGACAGUGGAAAAGCUCUAGUCUCGCUUAUAAAUGAGGUUUUGGAUCAAGCAAAGAUUGAAUCUGGUAAGAUUGAGCUUGAGGAAAUGCAGUUCGAUUUGAGGGCAAUAAUGGAUGAUGUAUUGGCACUCUUUUCUGGCAAGGCUCAUGAGAAAGGGAUUGAGUUGGCAGUUUACGUGUCUGAUGGUGUUCCUGAAAUGCUAAUCGGUGAUCCAGGGAGGUUUCGGCAAAUUAUUACCAAUCUCAUGGGGAAUUCAAUUAAAUUUACAAAGAAAGGGCACAUCUUUCUCACUGUUCAUCCUGUUGAGGAGGUGAUGGACUCGAUAGAUGUCGAGACAGAAUCAUCAUCACUAAACACCUUGAGUGGUCUGCCUGUUGCAGAUAGACGCAGGAGUUGUGCAGGAUUUAAGAUUUUCAGUCGUGAGGGCUCAAGUCAUACUCUCUCACCAUCCUCUUCUGACCUUGUCAAUCUAAUAGUGUCGGUUGAGGAUACAGGGGAAGGGAUCCCUCUAGAAGCCCAACCUCGUGUUUUUACUCCUUUUAUGCAGGUUGAUCCAUCCAUUUCCAGAAAAUAUGGAGGCACAGGCAUUGGCCUGAGCAUAAGCAAGUGUUUGGUUGGCCUUAUGAAUGGGGAAAUUGGCUUCGCUAGCAUACCAGAUAUUGGGUCCACCUUCACUUUCACUGCUGUAUUCAGAAACGGCUGCUCCAAUUCAAAUGACACCAAGCAGCAGAAGCAGAGAAUAAAAAACCAAUGUAACACAACGCCUUCAGAAUUUCAAGACAUGACUGCAUUGGUUGUUGACCCCAAGCCUGUUAGGGCCAAUGUUUCAAGAUAUCAGAUCCAGCGGCUAGGAAUACAUGUUGAAUUGGUUUCUGAUUUAAAUCAAGGUUUAUCUAUCAUAAGCAAUGAAAAUAGAGUCUUCAAAAUGAUCUUUGUUGAACAGGAAGUUUGGGAUAAGGACUCAAGCAUUUCAGCUCACUUUGUCAGUAACUUACAAAAAAUUGAGAGUGGGGUUUCUCCAAAACUGUUCCUUUUGGGAAAUUCUCUCAGUUCUUCCAGAACAAACACAGCAACUUCUGGUGCUUAUACUCUAAGAGUCAUAACCAAGCCCCUCAAGGCGAGUAUGCUGGCCGCAUCUUUACAACGAGCAAUGGGCGGGAAUAAGGGGAAUCCCCGCAAUGGAGAACACCCCAGUUUGUCUCUUUGCAACCAUCUUGUUGGAAGAAAAAUUCUUAUUGUAGAUGAUAAUAAAGUGAAUCUCAUAGUAGCUGCUGCUGCUUUGAAGAAGUAUGGAGCUGAAGUUAUCCUUGCAGAUAGUGGCAAGAAGGCGAUCAAAUUGCUCAAGCCACCUCACCAAUUUGAUGCGUGCUUCAUGGAUAUCCAAAUGCCAGAAAUGGAUGGGUUUGAAGCUACAAGGAGAAUUCGGGAUAUGGAGUCAAAUGGGCAUAUACCAAUACUGGCAAUGACUGCGGACGUGAUCCAGGCUACAUAUGAGGAAUGCCAAAGAUGUGGAAUGGAUGGGUAUGUUUCCAAGCCAUUUGAAGCUGAACAGCUUUAUCAGGAAGUUUCACGUUUUUUACAGCCAACGCCCAACGUGAAUUUAUAGAGAGAGCUACUAUUGAAGGCUACCCAUGACAGGAGCUCAAGCACCUCUUCUCAAGGGCUUGAAUGGGCUGGGAGUUCUCCUGAACAGAAAAUAUUUGUUUUGUUGCGGAGUGUAAAUACAAGCCAUGAUUGACUGGUUGGGCUCUAGUUUUCAUUGAUUGGUUUACGAGCUGCACAGUGAACCUGGUUCCCUUUUCCUUGUAGACCUCAUCUCCUAGUUGUCAGUUAUCAUUAGAACUCUUAGAAUAGGACUUCGAAUUCAAUACCACUUUCCAUUGGAUGAAGAAAUCAACUUACCCGAGUGUAUCAUAGAAAACACGGAAUUGCAUUUCUCCUCCCUAUGAAGUAAGAAAUUGCUGACAAGCCGAAGAGGUCUCUCUUUCUUUCGUGGGCCACCGAUUGUGGCAUGGAUACAAGAUUCUGCUGGAAGGAAAGAUAGCUUCUUGGCAACGAAGGAGAGAAUGCUUCAUGUAUAUUAUCUCUUUAAUAAAGAUGUUGAUGUAUACCAUGCUAGGUUACUUCUUGUUAGAUGUGGCUUCUAACAAUACCAAAAGUUUGUGCUACGAAGAAUUGAUGUAACUUAAACAGUGGCAUUCUAAAAAAAUUGAUUAAUCUCAAGAUUCUUGUCUACUCAUGACAUUUGACUCGC